CCUACGGGAGGCAGCAGUGAGGAAUAUUGGUCAAUGGACGAGAGUCUGAACCAGCCAAGUCGCGUGAAGGAUGACUGCCCUAUGGGUUGUAAACCUCUUUUAUAUGGGAAUAAAAUGUUCCACGUGUGGGAUUUUGUAUGUACCAUAUGAAUAAGGAUCGGCUAACGCCGUGCCAGCAGCCGCGGUAAUUCGGAGGAUUCGAGCGUUAUCCGGAUUUAUUUGGUUUAAAGGGAGCGUAGGUGGGUUUGUAAGUCAGUUGUGAAAGUUUGCGGCUCAACCCUAGAAUUGCAGUUGAAACUGGCAGUCUUGAGUACAGUAGAGGUGGGCGGAAUGCGUGGUGUAGCGGUGAAAUGCAUAGAUAUCACGAAGAACUCCGAUUGCGAAGGCAGUACACUGGACUGCAACUGACGCUGAGGCACGAAAGUGUGGGUAUCGAACAGGAUUAGAUACCCGAGUAGUC
rnacentral:rRNA from 1 species